rnacentral:rRNA from 1 species
AAGCUUAUCCUUUGCUUGAUAUGAUUCGA